rnacentral:lncRNA from 1 species
CCCUGAUCUGCCUCCUUGUCAGUCUCAGCCAAUCCUAUGGAGAAGCAUUGUGAUUGGAUCAGGCCACCACUUCUGAUGAUGUCAGCAGACUGCUUGUUUUUUUUUAGGCAAACAGCAUGCAGAGUUAUAGCUUCAGGCUUGAAUACAGUAAGAUUUUGCUAUAUUUAUGGAGGCAUGAGGGGCCCAGGGGGGCUAGAUGGUGGUGUUAACACUAUAGGGUCAGGAAUACAUGUUUGUGUUCCUGACCCUAUAGUGAUCCUUUAA